CAUUUUCUGGUUAGCUGAACCAGGACAUAGUAGUAGGGCUUGAAAGUUGAAACUGAUUGGAUACAACUUACAACUAGUUGCCAAAUUCCUAUACCUAGAGCGCAGUACUGAUAACGCAGCCUUACAUCAAUUCUCUACGACUAUCACGUCAUAUAUACCUUCCCUUCUCUUUCUCAAAAUUCCCAUCCAAAUUCUCCUCACCUAUCUCACCCCAGUUUUUUUCCAAAUUCCCAUUUUGAUGCUGUGGCUGCCGGCAAUAUUGGAAUGAAGCAUUAUUGCAUGAUGAAGAGUUUGAUGUUCAGGUACUUUCGAUCUCCUUGGGUUUAUAAGAUCACCAGCUUGCUAAGAACACCUUGUAUGAGAUCAAGUUUGUGAGAUUGAACUUAGGCAUCGAGGUCUCUCUACUGGUGUCUUGUCUACGUACAUGGAAGAGAUCGAAAUUAUAGGUUCGAUCCAUGUAGAAAAUGCAACAAGAUAUGGAUGAUGAUUUUACUAGGGUGUUCUUGAUGUGUUUGAAAUCCAUUAAUUAUUCCUUGUGUAUGAAGCGAAUUGUUUAAUCUUGUUAUAAAGUUCACUAAUAGUAUUUACAACGAAGAGAAUCAUGUGUACUUGGGAAAGCACAUUCGAUUAUGCCUCAAAAGACUUAUGCCCGGAUGUUUGUGUGAUUCGGCCAUGGCUUAGAGGUCCGAAUUGGAUAUGCUUUACAUCUUCA